UCCUACUCCUUUUUGGUUUUAUGUUUUGGGGGGGGAGGGGGGAUUGUUUAUCAAAUCAAGGAAAAGAUUUAUCAUUCUUUGCUGAAAUUCACUCAAGAGUGUUGCAUAUUAAGAUAAACUCAGAAUUAAGAAUUUGACGUUUGAAAAGGUGAAUGUACAA